AUCGCAUGAUAUUUUUAUUAAAGAAUUUCGGUUAUCGAUGGGGAUGCGUUCCAUUAGUUUGUUGGCGGGGUAACGGCCCACCAAGACUACGAUGGAUAGGGGUUCUGAGAGGAAGGUCCCCCACAUUGGAACUGAGACACGGUCCAAACUCCUACGGGAGGCAGCAGUGAGGAAUAUUGGUCAAUGGGCGAGAGCCUGAACCAGCCAAGUAGCGUGAAGGAUGAAGGCUCUAUGGGUCGUAAACUUCUUUUAUAUGGGAAUAAAGUUUUCCACGUGUGGAAUUUUGUAUGUACCAUAUGAAUAAGGAUCGGCUAACUCCGUGCCAGCAGCCGCGGUAAUACGGAGGAUCCGAGCGUUAUCCGGAUUUAUUGGGUUUAAAGGGAGCGUAGGUGGAUUGUUAAGUCAGUUGUGAAAGUUUGCGGCUCAACCGUAAAAUUGCAGUUGAAACUGGCAGUCUUGAGUACAGUAGAGGUGGGCGGAAUUCGUGGUGUAGCGGUGAAAUGCUUAGAUAUCACGAAGAACUCCGAUUGCGAAGGCAGCUCACUAGACUGUCACUGACACUGAUGCUCGAAAGUGUGGGUAUCAAACAGGAUUAGAUACCCUGGUAGUCCACACAGUA
rnacentral:rRNA from 1 species